UAAUACAUGCAAGUUGAAAGGGGAAAUCUUACUUGAAGGUGCUUGCACCGGAUUGUUUUAUUUCUUAGUGGCGAACGGGUGAGUAACACGUAGGUAACCUGCCUUUUAGUUGGGAAUAACAUUGGGAAACCAUUGCUAAUACCGAAUAUGAAUAUUGAGGGCAUCCUCGAUAUUUGAAAGGGGCUCUAAAGCCCCGCUAAUAGAUGGACCUGCGGUGCAUUAGCUAGUUGGUGAGAUAACAGCUCACCAAGGCGAGGAUGCGUAGCCGACCUGAGAGGGUGAUCGGCCACAAUGGGACUGAGACACGGCCCAUACUCCUACGGGAGGCAGCAGUAGGGAGUUUUCGGCAAUGGGGGGAACCCUGACCGAGCAAUGCCGCGUGAGCGAAGAAGGUCUUUGGAUUGUAAAGGCUCUGUUGUAGGGGAUGAACUGACUAGGAAGGAAAAUGUCCUGGUCUUGGACAGUACCUUACCAGAAAGCCACGGCUAAACUACGUGCCAGCAGCCCGCGGUAAUACGUAGGGGGGCAAGGCGUUUAUCCGGAAUUUAUUGGGGGUUAAAGCGUGAGCAGGCGGCCGUUUAAGUUUGAAGUCAAAUCCAGGGGCUCAAACCCCUGUCCGCUUUGAAAACUGGAUGGCUAGAGUACGAGAGAGGUAUGUGGAAUUCCAAGUGUAGCGGUGAAAUGCGUAGAUAUUUGGAGGAACACCAGUGGCGAAGGCGGCAUACUAGCUCGAUACUGACGCUCAGUCACGAAAGCGUGGGGAGCAAAUAGGAUUAGAUACCCUAGUAGUCCGCGCCGUAAACGUUGAGAACUAAGUGUUGGGGAGACCCAGUGCUGAAGCUAACGCAUUAAGUUCUCCGCCUGAGGAGUACGCACGCAAGUGUAAAACUUAAAGGAAUUGACGGGGGCCCGCACAAGCAGUGGAGCACGUGGUUUAAUUCGAGGCUACGCGAAGAACCUUACCAGGGCUUGACAGGAAACUUAAGACCCUAGAGAUAGGGGGAUAAUAAGUGAAACAGGUGGUGCAUGGUUGUCGUCAGCUCGUGUCGUGAGAUGUUCGGUUAAGUCCGGCAACGAGCGCAACCCUUGUCCUUAGGUUGCCAUCAUUAAGUUGGGGGACUCUAAGGGAGACCGCCGGUGCAAAUCGGAGGAAGGUGGGGAUGAACGUCAAAUCAUCAUGCCCUUUAUGUCCUGGGCGACACACGUGCUACAAUGGCCGUUACAAAGAGCAGCAAAACCGCGAGGUCAAGCAAAUCUCAUAAAGACGGUCUCAGUUCGGAUUGGAGUCUGCAACUCGACUCCAUGAAGUCGGAAUUGCUAGUAAUCGUAGAUCAGCCAUGCUACGGUGAAUACGUUCCCGGGCCUUGUACACACCGCCCGUCAAACCAUGAAAGCUGGUGAUACUCGAAGUCGGUAUCCUAACUUUGCAAAAAGAGGGAGCCGCCCAAGGUAGGAUCAGUAAUUGGGGUU
rnacentral:rRNA from 1 species